rnacentral:rRNA from 1 species
GCCAGAGCCGAGCGGCGUAAGGGGCAGUAAGGCGUGGGUAACGUACCCCCCGGACUGGGAUAACCUCGGGAAACCGAGGCUAAUACCGGGCGACGUCUUGAGGGCACAUGCCCUCGGGACCAAACGUGUGAUUCGGCCGGGGGAGCGGCUCACGUGGUAUUAGCUGGUUGGUAGGGUGACGGCCUACCAAGGCGAAGAUGCCUAGCAGGUGUGGGAGCACGACCUGCGCCACUGGCACUGAGACACUGGCCAGACACCUACGGGUGGCUGCAGUCGAGGAUCUUCGGCAAUGGGCGCAAGCCUGACCGAGCGACGCCGCGUGCGGGAUGAAGGCCUUCGGGUUGUAAACCGCUGUCAGGGGGGAUGAAGGGCUAGGGGGUACUCCCCCUAGUCACGCUUGACACAUCCCCAGAGGAAGCACGGGCUAAGUUCGUGCCAGCAGCCGCGGUAAGACGAACCGUGCGAACGUU